AAGGCAGUUUUGAUGAUGUUACUUUUUUAAUUUUAAGAAGACAUCAGAUAAAUCUGUCCU
ensembl:miRNA